UUUAUGGAGAGUUUGAUCCUGGCUCAGGAUGAACGCUGGCGGCGUGCCUAAUACAUGCAAGUCGAGCGAACAGACGAGGAGCUUGCUCCUUUGACGUUAGCGGCGGACGGGUGAGUAACACGUGGGUAACCUACCUAUAAGACUGGGAUAACUUCGGGAAACCGGAGCUAAUACCGGAUAAUAUUUCGAACCGCAUGGUUCGAUAGUGAAAGAUGGCUUUGCUAUCACUUAUAGAUGGACCUGCGCCGUAUUAGCUAGUUGGUAAGGUAACGGCUUACCAAGGCAACGAUACGUAGCCGACCUGAGAGGGUGAUCGGCCACACUGGAACUGAGACACGGUCCAGACUCCUACGGGAGGCAGCAGUAGGGAAUCU
rnacentral:rRNA from 1 species